rnacentral:misc_RNA from 1 species
CCCUUGGAGACCCACACACGCCCAGGCCUCUUGGAAACUACUCACACACCCCCAGUAGACUCAAGUGACUGACACCUUCCAAGAUGACCCGGAAAUACACAGUCCUCUCUGUCAUCAAGAGCCCAGAGGGUGAGCGGAACAGCCUCACGCCAAGGUCUCGCUCUCGUUCAAGGUCACGACUGGAGUCGCCAGCCAAUUCGCCCCCUCAUCGCCGUGCUGCAUCACAGUCCCGCUCUCCACAGCCACGUAGACGAUCCUUUAGCAGGUCACGUUCCCGCACGCCUCGUAGGCACCGCUCUCGAAGUGGGUCGCCCCGUAAUGGUCACGAUGGAAGCCGGCGCUCACGACGUACUCGAUCCCCCAUGUCUAAUCGCCGCCGUCAUAUUGGUACUCGAGACAACCCCGAGCCUUCAAAGUGUCUUGGAGUGUUCGGUCUAAGUGUGUACACAACAGAGAGAGAGCUUCAUAGCAUCUUUGACAAGUUUGGACCACUGGAGAAAGUGCAAGUAGUGCUUGACUCAAAGACUGGAAAAUCAAGAGGAUUUGCAUUUGUGUACUUUGAGUCCAUAAAAGAUGCUGCUGAAGCCAAGGAUGAGUGUUCAGGCAUGGAGAUCGACGGACGGAGGAUCAGAGUCGACUUCUCCAUCACCAAGCGACCUCACACACCUACUCCAGGCAUUUACAUGGGUCGACCCACCACCCGAGGAGGUUAUGACAGAGGAUAUGGUGGGCGAGGUGGCGGCGGGUACAGGGGUGAUAGAUACCGUUCUCCGUCGCCACGUUACAGGCAACGUUCCAGCGGUGGCCGCCGCGACUAUUAUGACCGUGGGUAUGUACCCGGCCUGGGAGUUACUGCACAACUCAAGCCACCACCAGACAAAGUAUUCAUGUGGAGGCAAGCUAGUUAAGCAAGUGUACAGAAGCUUGUUGUAUAGGCCUCUGGGCUGAAGAUGAUGAACCACAAGUUAUUGGUGAAGGUUGUUAAGCAUUGAAUGAGAAGUAUUCAGGUUCGUUAAGAACAAGUUCCUUUGGCAGUUGACAAGUCCAACAUGAAACACAAAUAUAAUGUGAGAAACACUAAGAAUUGAGGAUUCUCUCUAGCAUGAGAUAUGACCGUGGAGAUCGCAGUUACUACAGAGGCGGCGGCGGCUACGAUCGCUACGACCGACAGCAACAUUAUGAUCGUUAUGACAGAUAUGAUCGUGCUUACGACAAGUAUGAGCGCUACGAAAGGUCCAGAU